rnacentral:rRNA from 1 species
AGUGAACGCUGGCGGUAGGCCUAACACAUGCAAGUCGAACGGCAGCACAGUAAGCGCUUGCUCUUACGGGUGGCGAGUGGCGGACGGGUGAUGAAUACAUCGGAAUCUACUUGUUCGUGGGGGAUAACGUAUGGAAACUUACGCUAAUACCGCAUACGACCUACGGGUGAAAGCAGGGGAACUUCGGAUGUUGCGCGAGUGAAUGAGCCGAUGGCGGAUUAGCUCGUUGGCGGUGCAAAGGCCCACCAAGGCGACGCUGCGUAGCUGGUAUGAGAGGAUGAACAGCCACACUGGAACUGGGACACGGUCCAGACUCCUAAGGGCGGCAGCAGUGGGGAAUAUUGGACAAUGCGGGAAAGCCGGCCCGAGCCAUACCGCGUGAGUGCAGAAGGCCAUCGAGUUGUAAAGGCGUUGUGUCGGGAUAGAAAAGCAGGAGGUUAAUACACCGCUGUUCUGACGGUACCCAAAGAAUAAGCCCCGGCUAACUUCGUG